rnacentral:rRNA from 1 species
UAGGGAAUCUUCGGCAAUGGGGGGAACCCUGACCGAGCAACGCCGCGUGAGUGAAGAAGGAUUUCGGUUCGUAAAACUCUGUUGUUAGAGAAGAACAGCGCAUAGAGUAACUGUUAUGCGUGUGACGGUAUCUAACCAGAAAGCCACGGCUAACUACGUGCCAGCAGCCGCGGUAGUACGUAGGUGGCAAGCGUUGUCCGGAUUUAUUGGGCGUAAAGCGAGCGCAGGCGGUCAAUUAAGUCUGAUGUGAAAGCCCCCGGCUCAACCGGGGAGGGUCAUUGGAAACUGGUUGACUUGAGUGCAGAAGAGGAGAGUGGAAUUCCAUGUGUAGCGGUGAAAUGCGUAGAUAUAUGGAGGAACACCAGUGGCGAAGGCGACUCUCUGGUCUGUAACUGACGCUGAGGCUCGAAAGCGUGGGUAGCAAACAGG